rnacentral:lncRNA from 1 species
GACGAAGUCAUUAAUGGAUAAAUAUAUUUUAUUACGUAAUUACAAAGUCAAGAAAUAUUCUAAAGUUCAAAUGUUCGAAUGUUUACAAACUGUCUUUAAAGUUGAAUUGUUCGAAUGUUCAAUAUCUCACACGGGCACGUGAUCGUAUAGUUUCAAUCCUGAUGAAAUACGUUUGGAUAUUAAGCGCAUAUGUUCCAGCCUACCCACGAGGUGGGAGACCGUGGCGGAAUCUCCGGUACCAAUCCCUUGUACCAAUCCGUCCUCUUCAAGUCCAAAGCUGGAUCUUAUAUAGUCCAGUAGUCCAUUAACAACGGCCCAUAGCUGAUGGCCGGUUACUUAAUAGUCUGGAUGUUAGAUAAUUCUAGUCUGUGGUUAAUUGUCAAACUAACCCCUGAAGGAUACAUGUUAUUUCACAGUAGACAUGGUCAUUUAUUGGCUGCAGGGUAUACAUGGUAUGUCUAUAAUAUUUGAACAGAUCGUUAUUUAAAAAUGUCCAAAGCGUACAUGAUUGUCAUUGAAUUAUUUAAUUCCUUUUUAAUAAAUUCCUAAUUAAUACUCCUUGAUAAUUAAUGAUAUGAAACACAAUUGUGUUACA